rnacentral:rRNA from 1 species
UACGUAGGGGCGUAGCGUUGUCCGGAUUUAUUGGGCGUAAAGAGCGUGUAGGCGGCCAGGUAGGUCUGCUGUGAAAACUCGAGGCUCAACCUCGAGACGUCGGCGGAAACCAUCUGGCUAGAGUCCGGAAGAGGAGAGUGGAAUUCCUGGUGUAGCGGUGAAAUGCGCAGAUAUCAGGAAGAACACCCGUGGCUAAGGCGGCUCUCUAGUACGGUACUGACGCUGAGGCACGAAGGCCAGGGGAGCAAACGGG